UCUAGUGAGACUAUGUCGGGGC
rnacentral:misc_RNA from 1 species